UCUGUCUUCAGGCUAUUAAUUUGACCUCUGAACUUUUUUGCAUCCAUGAUUCUGCAAGACCUCUGGUAUCAUCAGGAUUCAGGAGGUGUUGAGAAGGUCAGACUUACCUUACUUGUAUAUCUAAUUCAUUCACGUUAUUCUCUUUUGAGUUUUGACAUUCUAUAUAAAUAGACCACCAUUUGGUGUGUAAAUCGCUAUGCGUUGUGUCAAAGGUAUAGAGAAAUACUGCUUAUAUAAAGGCAUCACUGUUUGGAACUAUUAUAUAAAUGUUUUUACACAUCCUUACUGUAGUGCAGAAUGGGUUGGUGGUUGUGAAUUCAGUUAUUUUGGUGUAUUCUUGGAGGUUAUACGUGAAGUCAGAUUUCUUCACUGUCACUACUGCUAAUGGUUGCUUUUCAGUUAAAUCUGCCAACAACUCCCUUUAUGAUUUCUGAUAUUCUCAUAAUUCUCAAUGGAAGUUGAUUUGGAAUCUUGAUAUUCCUCCCAAGCUGAAAACUUUCCUUUGGACUAUGCUUCAUAAAAAGCUGUUAACUAAUGUUCAAAGGGUCACUAGAAGAUUUACCAAUGAUGCUGCGUCCUAUAUGCCACUCUGCUGAUGAAACUCUUCUGCAUCUUCUAAGGGAUUGUCCUAGAUCUAUGCAGAUUUGGAGAGCUUUCCCUAAGCGCUGGUAUAAUUUCUAACUCUUUUUCCCUGGAUUGGAAUGGUUGGAUAAAUGCUCAGCUGCAUUGCCAUGCUUUUGUUAAAAAUAAUAUCAUGGAUUUCUGUUCCUUCUUCCUUCACCAUCUUCAAUUUGGGAACAGAGAAAGUUGUCAAGAACCGGUAAGCUCUGCUUCUUUCUCCUCUAAAUCAGUGUCAUCAAUGAUCUUUUGAAAUCUUCAUAUCUAUGGCCUUAUAUUGAAUCUUAAUUUAAGCCAUGUGAAAACAUUAUGGGAUCACUUUUGCUACAUACAUGUGUAUGGAAGUCUUUGAAUUUUACCUUUUUUCAGAUUAUUAUAUUUGAUCCCAUGAUUGUUUACUUAUUUUUGAGUCUCUUAACAGUGAAUAUAUUUUGCAAGCAGCUGUUCUUAUGUGUGUGUGUGUGGGUUUGUGGGCUGGACUUAUCAUCGAUUUUUGUAACAGAGUAUAAUACCAAUAACGUGUACAGGGAACUGUAUACUCAUUAUGUGGAACUUGUUCCUCUAUCAAUCGUUUAAAUUUUGAAUUAUUCUACUGUAUACUCAGUAUGCGGAACUUGUUCUUCUUUCAAUCGUUUAAAUUUUCAGUUAUUCUGAUUUGGGUAAUGCAGAAACCGGAGUCUGUAAUAGUGAAAGAGAGAAGCAUUUCGGUGAUUCUUUUGGCCGGUGGGAAGGUACAAGGAUGGGAGUCCUCUUUUGUCACCAUUUUGAUACAUCAACUAGUUUUUUUGGAGUGUGACGAGGCCUUUUUGUUAUGUUGGUGCAACUAGGUCAGUAUGCUGAAACAGUAUCUCCCGCUUUUAAGCUAGCCAAUUGCAUUGUGCUGGUAGCUUAUUCAACCAAUGCUUUUAUAUGAUUUUACAUUGCGUCGAUUGAGCUGAUGAACUCACUGAAAUGUUGAUUCCGUAUGUUUCUUUAGAACCUAAUGACAGGGAUUCCUUUAGUGUAGUUUCCGGCCCUUAAGGUUGUUUAUGUUUGUCAUCUUUCCUAUUUUUUCUGUUAUUCUUCUGAAUGAGUAUUUUGCCAACCCGGUGUACCUUCUAUACUUUCUCCCGCAUGCCUCAAGUGAAGGAAAUCAUUGUAGUUUGUGAUCCGUCCUACAGGGAUGUUAUUGAAGGAUCCAUUCCUCUCUUUCUAUCAUGCAUUUGCCUCUUUGACGUGUAUGUCUGUUGGGUGCAGUGCUGUAGGACACAUGUAUUCUGAUUUGGUUUCAGUUGUGUUCUCAGAUGCCAAGCAUAAGAUCCAGACGGAACUCAAAUUCACCCUACCUGGGAAGGAAAGACAAGAUUCUGUCUACUGUGGACUCCAGGUGCGCGCACAUCAUUGUUUUGUGUCGUGAAAAGUCUCUCAGUUGUAGCUUACAAUUCAACCUACCUACUUAACACGUGACUCUGAAGGAGUCUUCAUUCUACUUUAUCCCAAUGUUGGUUGGCACUAGCUUUCACAAUAUUUGAAACUAAGAAGGCCGUCUGGUUAUUUUGUUGGAUAUGCUCCUUUUUAAUGAAAACAACAUUUCUUAUUUGUAAAAAUCACUCAUGUGCAUUGGGGUGUCAUCUAUGCUGCCUCUGUAAUGAUGGAGAACAGAAAGAAAGCACACUCCCCUCUACAACACAUUUCACUCUUCUUCUCUAGAACAUUAAAGGGAAUUGGUGGCGCGAGUGUGAAAAAUAUUGAAAAAAGUGUGAAGCGCUCACCCUCCUUUUGUCUUACUUUAAUGGCUAAGCAUCAUCAUAUGCAUGUUUCCAGAUGAAAUAAUGCCUGCUUAAUAGCUGAUUAUGAAUUUAACUUUUCUCCUCCUUUGCUAAAUUCGUUGUAGCAUACAAGUCAACUGAAGUUUUUUGUUUUUUGUUUUUUUUUUGGAUAAAAAAAAUUAGUAUUUUCAAUAGAUGAUCUUCACCUGAACUGUAUUUUUGGAAAAUGAGGAUGUGUAAGUAUUGAUAACUUAUCACCAGAUGUAACUCUGUCUUCAGGCUAUUAAUUUGACCUCUGAGCUUUUUUGCAUUCAUGAUUCUGCAAGACCUCUGGUAUCAUCAGGAUUCAGGAUGUGUUGAGAAGGUCAGACUUACCUUACUUGUAUAUCUAAUUCAUUCACGUUAUUCUGUUUUGAGUUUUGACAUUCUAUAUAAAUAGACCACCAUUUUGUGUGUACGAAUCGUUAUGCAUUGUGUCAAAGGUAUAGAGCAAUACUGCUUAUAUAAAGGCAUCAUUGUGUUUUUACACAUCCUUAUUGGAGUGCAAAAUGGGUUGGUGGUUGUGAAUUCAGUUAUUUUGGUGUAUCCUUGGAGGUUAUACGUGAAGUCAGAUUUCUUCUACGACUAUUCAAGAGACUAAUCAGAGCAAAAAUUGAAUGCUUUUAGGCUCAUAAAGAUGGUUGGUUAAAUGGCGCAACUGUACUAUGUGUUCCGGUAAAAGCGACCAUCAAAGAGGUAAUUUUGAAUCAUAAGUGACUUGCUUUCCGAUUUAUACUACUUGCUGUUUAUGAAUACAUACACUACAGCCAAUUUAUAUGAUGCAUAGGGUUUGGUUUCUCCUUAUUUUCUCUUCAGCGGAACAUGUGUGUUUGUGAAUGUAUAAUGUAGCUGCUAGUAUCUAUGUUUCCUUUUAGUUGUAUUAAAGAGGUACUACAGUAAAUUCUCAGUAAAGUCCGUUUCUCCUUUUGUCCCCACUUAAACACAUAUCAGGGGGCUUUCUACCUGUUUGCAGAACAUGAAUUCCUGCAUUUAGACCUUGUGAUACAGAAAUUCCUGUACUUUUAUGCUGGCAAACAAUGAGUCUUUUGUAGUCCGAACUCUGGACAGGAGAACACUUUGGGAAAUGCCAACACCACAGUUUUGUUGUCUAUCAAUUCUCACAGGUCAUCAAAUCUGAGUUGCUCAAAAAGGGAUUUGAGCUUGUUAACAGGUACGCUGGGACUUAUGUCGAUUUUGUUGCACAAUGUUAUAUGCAAACUGAUGUGAGAUAAAAAUAGGGGGUAAUGAGUCGAUGAUGAUAAAUGUUGAGGAUGUGAACCUUCCCAGAUCAGAAUCCCUCGAGAGUCUGGUCCUUGUUUGUGUAAUUAAAAAAAGAAACCAAGAAAAAAAAAUCUUAGGAGUUGACUCGUGUGGCUGUGAAAUACUGAUCGAGAGAGAUCAAAAUCCUGUGAUUGUGUCAUGCAAUUUUCUAUUGAAAAACAAUGUUGGACACUUGGACAUAUUUCAAUUUUUCCCAUGUUCUAAUAAUUGUAAUUUCCACAGAGGCUUGAAGUGACUGAUGACGGUCUAUUGUUGAGCACCUUCGACAUCCUGUGUACAAGGAUCUUACACAAACAUCAAGGUAGUGAAAUAUCCUGCCCUAUGCAUUUUUUGCAACUAACAUAAAUACAGAACAAAUACUCAGCACCCCAUCCUUUGAUUGGGAAGUUGGUCAUGAUGGUUUCCCUGCUAUCUCUUUCAACAUCAUUGGCAUAUAUAUUCUUCUGAGAUUUUUAAAGUGGUCAGUGAUGCUUUUGCCACUAGCUCCAGCCCUGGAGGUCUGAAUCAUACUUUGAUUGCCCCUGUCCCUAAAAUUGAUGGCCGUCAACACAUGGUGAAUUUUAGACCCAUCAGCCUUUGCACCACCAUUUAUAAAGUUAUUUCCAAAGUUAUUGUUGCCAGAAUGUCAUGAUAGCUCAAGAGAUUAGUCCUAAUCAAGUUUUGAUUAGUCCUAAUCAGGUGAGCUAUGUUCCAGGGAGAAACAUUUCUGACAAUGUCAUGAUAGCUCACAAGAGAUGUUAUUCAAGUUUAAAAAAUCCAAAGGUAAGCAGGGUUUCUUUGCCUGGAAAAUUGAUCUGUCUAAAUCCUAUGAUAGACUUAGUUGGAAUUUUAUUGAGAUGGUCUUGUAUGAAGCCAAAUUUCCUAGAACUCUUGUCAAACUUAUCAUGCAUUGUGUCACUUCAACUAGUUUUCAGAUAUGUCUGAAUGGUGAGUUAACUAGUUAUUUCAUGGCGAAAAGAGGAAUUAGGCAAGGUGAUCCCCUUUCACCUUACAUCUUUGUUGUGUAUGGAGAUGCUAUCCGAUCUCAUCCAUUCUGCUGUGGAAUAUGGUCACUGGAAGUCUGUAAAUGCUUCUCAAUCUGGCCCCAGAAUUUCUCACUUAUUUUUUGUGGAUGAUCUUAUGUUGUUUGCUGAAGCCACUGAGCAUCAGGCUUAUGGUUUGAAAACUUGUCUUGAUAAUUUCUGUGCUAUUUCUGGACAAAUUAUUAGUUAUGAGAAGUCUUUAAUUUUCUGCUCUCCUAACACCACUAAGACUAUGGCUAGCAGUAUCAGCGCCACAUGUGGUUCCCCUCUCACUUCUGACCUUGGUAAAUACCUAGGUAUGCCUCUCAUUCAUUCCAGAGUCAAUAAGCACACUUAUGAUGCUAUCUUUUAUAAGGUCCAAAGUAGAUUGUCAAGUUGGAAAAGCAAGGUCCUGAACAUGGCAGGCAGACUGACUUUGAUUCAAUCUGUCACUUCUGCUAUUCCUAAUUAUGCCAUGCAAACUACUAAAUUUCCUGUGAGUCUUUGUGACAGGUUGGAUAAGUUGAAUAGGAACUUUCUCUGGGGAGAUGUUGAUGAUAAGAAGAAAUUAAGUCCAUUUGGUGAAUUAAGACAUUGUAUGUCGGCCGAAACAACUUGGAGGUUUGGGAAUCUAAAAGUCUGCCGAUAUGAACCAAGCUAUGCUUGCCAAGAUUAGCUGGAGAAUGUUUGACAAUGACAAGGGUUUAUGGGCCUCCAUGUUCUCUGAAAAGUACCUCAAAAACUGCAGCAUUUUUGAGGAUCAGUAUAUGCCCUCUUCUGAUUGUUCUAGCACCUGGAGAGCCAUCAUUCAUGGAGCUGAGCUUAUCAGGUACAAUUUAAAAUGGCGUGUUGGCGACGGUACUUCUAUCAGGUUCUGGUAUGACAGUUAUUUUCUGAGGCUCUUAUUAAUUUUCUUCACCCUUCAGCCAUUAUUAACAGAAAUUCUUAUGUCUGUGAUUUUUGGAAUGACGAGGGCUGGAAUAUUCCUCUCUUAAUGAUUCUGUCCCUGCGGAUGUUAAUCAAAUUAUUAAUGUGCCUACUCGCUUUGCAAAUUCUGGGAGGGAUACUUUGAUAUGGGGAUCUACAGCUAAUGGUUGCUUUUCAGUUAAAUCUGCCUAUAACUCCCUUUUUGAUUUCUCAAAUUCUCAAAAUUCUCAAUGGAAAUUGAUUUGGAAUCUUGAUAUUCCUCCCAAGCUGAAAAAUUUCCUUUGGACUAUGCUUCAUAAAUCUAUGCAGAUCUAUGCAGAUUUGGAGAGCUUUCCCUAAGCCUGGUAUAAUUUCUAAAGCUUUUUUCCUGGAUUGAAAUGGUUGGAUAAAUGCUCAUCUGCAUUGCCAUGCUUUUGUUAAAAAUAAUAUCAUGGAUUUCUAUUCCUUAUUCAAUUUGGGAACACAGAAAGUUGUCAGGAACCGGUAAGCUCUGCUUCUUUCUCUUCUAAAUCAGUGUCAUCAAUGAUCUUUUUAAAUCUACAUAUAUAUGGCCUUAUAUUGAAUCUUAAUUGAAGCCAUGUGAAAACAUUAUGGGAUCACUUUUGCUACAUACAUGUGUAUGGAAGUCCUAGAAUUUUACCUUUUUAUCAUAUUCUUAUAUUUGAUCCCAUGAUUGUUUACUUUUUUGAGUCU
rnacentral:lncRNA from 1 species